GGAUUUUGUUGAGCUACACGACUGAUGAGAAUCCUGUUUUGAGGCUUCCUAGCAGGAGGAGCUCCAGUCAGUGGAGGGUGGUGGAACCAGGAGUGGACACCAGACUUUGGGCACUUCCACUGGCCCAUGCUGCUGCUUCCUCGCUGACAUCCAAGGAGAGACAUGAGGGGAACUGCAGAAGAUCCAAGUCCUGGUGGACCAAGCACUGGGGAAAGAAGAUAGUAAGAGACACAAAGAAAAGAUGGUCCUGGCAGCCGGAGAAAGUGAAGCCAGCAG